rnacentral:snRNA from 1 species
CAGCAGGACGGUGGUCAUGGAAG